rnacentral:rRNA from 1 species
GUCCGCACAGUAAACGAUAUUCACUAGGUGUCGGUCGGAUAGGCCGGUCGGUGCCGUAGCUAACGCGAUAAGUGAAUCGCCUGGGGAGUACGAUCGCAAGGUUGAAACUCAAAGGAAUUGACGGGGGCCCGCACAAGCGGUGGAGCAUGUGGUUUAAUUCGAUGCAACGCGAAGAACCUUACCUGGGCUUGACAUCCAUUGGAUCUUUCAGAGAUGAGAGAGUGCCUUUCGGGGAACAAUGAGACAGGUGCUGCAUGGCUGUCGU